ensembl:lncRNA
GGCUCAAAGCAAGGUCUUCCUGAGUGUCUCUGCCUAUCUCUAUCCUUCUAUCUCUGUCAGUCUCUCUAUCUCUCUCUCUGUCUCUCUGUCUCUCCGUCUCUGUCUCUCUGUCUUUCGGUCUCUCUCUGUCUGACUCUCUCUCUCUGUCUCUCUCUCUCUGUCUCUCUUUCUGUCUCUCUCUGUCUCUUCUCUGUCUCUCUGUCUCUCUCUUCUCUGUCUCUCUUUGUCUGUCUCUGUUUCUGUCUCUCUCUCUCUCUCUUCUCUCUGUUUCUGUCUCUCCCUCUCUCUGUCUCUCUCUUCUCUUUCUCUCUCUGUCUCUCUCUGUCUCUGUCUCUCUCUGUGUCUCUGUCUCUGUCUCUCUCGCUGUGUGUCUCUGUCUCUCUCUCUAUCUCUGUCUCUGUCUCUCUCUCUAUCUCUGUCUCUGUCUCUCCCUCUCUCUGUCUCUCCUCUCUGUCUCGCUCUGUCUCUGUCUCUCUCUGUCUCUCCCUCUCUCUGUCUCUCCUCUCUCUCUUCUCCCUUUCUCUCUCUCUCUCUGUCUCUCUCUGUCUCUGUCUCUCUGUCUCUGUCUCUCUGUCUCUCUGUCUCCUGUCUCUCUGUCUCUGUCUCUCUGUCUCUCUGUCUCUGUCUCUCUGUCUCUGUCUCUCUGUCUCUCUGUCUCUGUCUCUCUGUCUCUCUCUCUCUCUGUCUUCUCUCUGUCUCUGUCUCUCUGUCUCUGUCUCUCUGUCUCUCUGUCUCUGUCUCUCUCUCUCUCUCUCUCUCUCUCUCUCUGUCUCUCUCUCUCUCUCUCUCUGUCUCUCUCUCUCUCUCUCUCUCUCUCUCUCUCUCUCUCUCACAAUAAUCUCAUACUCUCUCUGUCUCUCUGUCUCUCUCUCUGCCUCUCUCUCUGUCUCUCUGUCUCUCUGUCUCUCUGUCUCUCUCUCUCUCUCUCUCUCUCUCUCUCUCUCUCUCUCUCUCUCUUCCUCUCUGUCUCUUUCUAUCUCUCUUCCUCUCUCUCUGUCUCUGUCUCUCUCUCUGCCUCUCUCUCUGUCUCUCUCUCUGUCUCCCUCUCCUUCUCCAUCUCCAUCUCCCUCUUUCUCUCUCCAUCCGUUGGGAGGACGGGUUAGCCUGCAAGCACACGUGGCAUCUAUGAGAGACAGCCAGCAUGUUGGGCUGCUUAGAGGCCAAGGCCGUGUGUCCGUUCUUCAUUCGAAUCAGCCACAUUCGCAUGGCUCACGGGUCAUGGACGGCAGCAUCAGAGCUACCAGAGACCUGUGAGGUGGUUCUUUCUGGCUCCCUGGAGGCAGAGCCCAGGCUUGUCAGGCCUGGCGGCCCCUUUGCUUCCCAUCCGUAGGUCUUACCUAGCUGUAGGUCUGUGGGCAAGUCUUUUCCCUGCCUCGGUUCUUGAGUCUGUAAAAUGGCGGUCACUGUACUCAGCACGAAGGAUCCUGCAGAGUAAGACAGGCCAGAGAUGGCGAACCACAAGAGAAGGGAGAAGCCAAUUUCUUCAUUUUACAGAUAAGGAAACUGAGGCAGGGACGAGUGGAGUAACUUGCUGAGGAUCCCAUCGUGAGUGUCUGAGGCAGGAUGUAAUGUAGGUUUUCCUGACAUCGUAGAUGAAGAAGAACAAAUCAGAUCAUGCAGGUAAAAUGGUCUCUAAACUGCCUUUGUAAAUGGCCACUUUGGUUAUUAUUAAUACUAUGGAACCCCUUCAUGAAUGAGCAUCUUUAAGCCACCUACUAUGUGCUGGGCAU